rnacentral:rRNA from 2 species
CAUCCUCCAAGGCUAAAUACUCCUGACUGACCGAUAGUGAACCAGUACCGUGAGGGAAAGGCGAAAAGAACCCCGGCGAGGGGAGUGAAAAAGAACCUGAAACCGUGUACGUACAAGCAGUGGGAGCACAGGUUUACCUGUGUGACUGCGUACCUUUUGUAUAAUGGGUCAGCGACUUAUAUUCUGUAGCAAGGUUAACCGAAUAGGGGAGCCGUAGGGAAACCGAGUCUUAACCGGGCGUUAAGUUGCAGGGUAUAGACCCGAAACCCGGUGAUCUAGCCAUGGGCAGGUUGAAGGUUGGGUAACACUAACUGGAGGACCGAACCGACUAAUGUUGAAAAAUUAGCGGAUGACCUGUGGCU